CAGCAGUAGCCACGGGAAUACGGAGGGUGCGAGCGUUAAUCGGAAUUACUGGGCGUAGAGCGUACGCAGGCGGUUUGUUAAGUCAGAUGUGAAAUCCCCGAGCUUAACUCGGGAACUGCAUUUGAAACUGGCAGGCUAGAGUCUCGUAGAGGGGGGUAGAAUUCCAGGUGUAGCGGUGAAAUGCGUAGAGAUCUGGAGGAAUACCGGUGGCGAAGGCGGCCCCCUGGACAAAGACUGACGCUCAGGUGCGAAAGCGUGGGGAGCAAACAGGAUUAGAUACCCCUGUAGUCCCUGUCUCUUAUAC
rnacentral:rRNA from 1 species